rnacentral:lncRNA from 1 species
GGCUUGAUAAUAUUCAAAAUUUUGUUGAGCCUCCAGCCUCUUCUAAUUAAGAGCUUCUAACUCCGCAAGACGCAACCUAGCAUUUUUUUCAUCGAUGAGCCCUUUUUGAAUAGCCAGUCUUAAAAAAGAUAUUUGACACUUAUGUGGCAAGACUGCUUUAACCCCAAAAGUAAGUGAGUAUAGGGUGGCUUGCGUCAGUGUACGGUAAGUUGUCUAAUAUACCCAUAAACAUGCUUC